CUUUGGCUCGAGCCCAAAGAUGUUUAUGUCCGGGUAGUCGACUGUCCUCAUUCACCGGAAGAACAAGCAGUCCGACCGAUCCCCGAGGUGAUGUUUGCAGUGGGAGAAGAACCAGUCGGCGUGCGUGUUCUCACGUAUCUAUCAUCCAGAGCCAUCAACCGCAUCUAUAAUGCGUUGGAGGAGGAGGAAGUACAGAUUAUUCGGAGAUCUGCGUUUGGAACAUGGAUUUGUGGUUUGGCAUGACAAGGAGAAACCCUGUCUUUGGCAAAAGCAAAGUCUAUUGGAAGCAAGGGAAAUGUAUACCUCAAAUAAGAGAGAGAGAGAGAGAGAGAGAAAUGUGUUUCAUUGUGGGUUUGUGGUGUCAAUUGGUGUCAUAGUGUCUGAUGGAGUCUGAUGUAGAUUUGGUGUUGUGGUGUUGGUGUUGAUGUUGCGUCUGAGAGAGUUGACCAUUGCUUAGAGCUCGUGUGACAGAGUUGAUCUGUUAUAGUAUAAGUGUAUCUUUUUUUUGUGCAACUUAUAAGUGUAUCUUGUUAAUCUGUUUAUUGUCAUAAUCUUUUUUGUUGUUGACACAUUUCUUUCUUAUAUAUCCAACAUAUGAUUUAAGAGAAAUUAGGAUAGAUAUACACAUUUCGCACCAAUAUUAAGAAACUACAUGAUCUCUAUUUGUGCACUGUGCAAUUUUGAUUAAUACCAUUUUAUCCCUACUCACUAAUGAAGGUACAAAAUCCUAUGGAAAGAUACGAUUUUAUUUCAAAUGAAAGGAGGAAAAUAGUAAAAUAAAAAAUAUAGGAGACACCAAAGAGAGAGAUACGAUAGAGAAAACAAAUGAAAGGAGGAAAGAAAGAAGAAGACGGUAGGCGUGGAGGUGAUGGGAGGGGCAGAGGCGACGAUAUACUGGGAAGCGAUGGUAAAAGCCACAGACAGCACAACAACUCGCUUCCAACGGUGAUUCCUUCACUUCCUUUACCAUCCCCACCUCUGGCAACAUGAACCCUAGAUAAUUGCAUCAUGUUUCCAUCACUGCACCAGGUUAUGGAUGCGCUUAUGUUCUUCCUGGUGCUGCAAGGGAGGUGGCCACAACGAUGUAUCAAGAUCUGGCUGCUAGUUAACCGAAAUUGGAUGUCCCAUUCUACGGAUAGUGUCAUAUGGGUUACCCCUCUCCGUGUUGGAUUUCAUUUGUUGAACCAUCUUUGUUUUAACUCACCUUUUUGUGUUAUAUUGUUAUAUAUUAAACAUCUAUGGUCAUCGCUAUCUAUAACUUCUAUUAACGGUCACAAGUACCUUCUUCUACAUUGUUAUUAUAACCACUAUUAAAUAUAUUAACAACUUGUUUUGGCA